rnacentral:rRNA from 1 species
ACUAGACCGGUCCUAAGGUAGCGAAAUUCCUUGUCGGGUAAGUUCCGACCCGCACGAAAGGCGUAACGAUUUGGGCACUGUCUCAACAACAGACUCGGUGAAAUUGUAAUUCCGGUGAAGAUGCCGGA